UUUUUUUUUUUUUUUUUGUGAUUUUAUACAAACUGAUCAAACUCCAGGGCCUGGAUUCUAUUUUUUUCACACUUGGUACUCACCGUCCCCUGGGCACUCUCCAUGGGGCUCAUACCAUGGCUGUGACAAGACCUGGAAACUGAAGCUGUUUUAUUCUGCAGAUGUGGCGAUUCUCAGAGGGCCCUGACAGGGGCUUUCCCAUUCUCUCAGAAGCCUGAGAAGUUGGUUUGCUUCCCUCUGCUCCCACCAUUCCCCUCUGGUUCCUGCCAUUAUUAAUAACGCAGAGGUGGCUUCACAUCAGCAUGGGGGCUGUGUGGGUAAUUACAGCGGUUUAGGACUAACCAGUAAAUUACUCCUCAGGCUGGGAAUUCAACAGGUUACCAGUGUCACUCAGGCCAGCUCACUUUAUUGCACUCCCCUCCUGUUGCCUGUCACACUGAUAUUCAUGUGUCUGCUUUGCAUUACAGCCUGGCUUUCCUGCUGCUGCUUUUCUUGGUACCUGUGGCUGCCACAGCUGUCAAUCCAGCCCUCACUAACGUAACCUUGCAGUUCUUCCCCAUAUUCCACCCCGAUGUGGCCAAUAACUACUCAGUGUAUUACUUCAGACAGAAGGUAAUAAGGGUUGGAAGAGCAAGGUUCCAGAUCCCAACCACUGGCUCGUCUAUUCUCAGAGGCCAGAUGCCGUAGGCCACCCCGAAACCCAGACUUCUUAAUGCCUAGAAGCUGUUCAGCCUUCUACUCACAAUCUACAGAACCCGAGCAUUCACAUUUCUCUUCCCCUCCCCCACCCAUGGAAAUGUGUUCUUUCACAGUUCUGGAGGUCAGGUUCCCAGUACUUCUGAUGUUUGCUCAUCUGUAGCUGCCUGGCCACCACUAACCCUGCUCCCAGCCGAGUGCCUCAAUCCUAAUUCACUUUACUUUCGCCAAAUUAAAACUGCUGGGUGCCAUCCCUGGCCCCUAGCUUGGGAUGGCAAUCAUCCUUUGUUCUGUGGGAUCCCCCCCCAAACAUGAAUUCUAAUGCCUUUACUUUCGAGAUAAUGCAGAAUGUGAAUCAAAUCUAGAGUGUCAGCCUGUUAUCUCUGUAGCAGGGCAAAAUUGACUUUUAACCAUUUAAUAAGUUUUUGACAGUACCUGUUUCCCCUGGGUUCCUAACGGGGGUUGUGCCCGGAUCUGAGGAUGUGAGAUCAGGUAGGUCUCUGCCCUAUAACCUGAGUUCAGACUUCCAUGAGAAGCGUUAUGGAUACUUUGUGGCUGGCUUCAGGCGUGGAACAUGACCCCUUAAGUCUGAAUGGAAGAGGAUCUCCGGUCCUCUGACAAGGGGUCCUAAUAAUGCCACAUUUCUUGGAGUCUAACUAAAGAUAGGCAUGCAUGUUGAAGAUAUUGGGAUUAGAAAGAGUGCCUGGCUCUGAUCACGAGAAGUCAGACUACGAUCCCACUCUGCUAACUCUGUAAUCUUGAACAGUUUACACUUAGUUCCCCAGCCUGGUUUCUUGAUUUCCUCCACGUUGUGAUGGUGAUUAAAAAAGAGAUAUGUGUUUCUAAGCAGAAAAGCUUAGCUGUCUUAAAUAGACAUGUAUCAAUGAAUGGUCACAGCCCUGUGUUGAGUUUGAGUAGGGAUUUGGGAUAGAGGCAUGGCACGGCUUUCCAGAAUGAUUUAUUGGAAACAAUUCUUUGUGAAGAUUUAUUUUAUGCAUCACUACACUGUAGCUGUCUUCAGACUCGCCAGAAGAGGGCAUCAGACUCCAUUAAAGAUGGUUGUGAGCCACCACGUGGUUGCUGGGAAUUGAACGCAGGACUUCUGGAAGAGCCGUCAGUGCUCUUAAAUGCUGAGCCAUCCUCUCCAGCCCAGGGAAACAAUUUUUAAUCCAAAAAUUUUGAAGAAGAGGAACUAUUUUAAUUUUUUUCCCCAGAAGGAUAUAUUUUCUUUGCCCCAGAGGAAAUAUUUUAACAGUUGUUCAAGAAACAGAAGUUCUUUUCUGAGGCAACUGCUUCAACCCUUUAGGCAGGCAUAGUUUCUGCCUUUGUAGAACACCAGUGUGUGUUUUCAUUUCAUACAGUAUGGAGGAAAUAAAGGACUUUGGAGGGAGCCAGCCCCAUAGGAAGACAACUAGAUGCAUGGUGAAUAUUAGGAGACCCAGAACUCCUCUCUCCCUGAUUUCCUUUCAUCAGGAACCUUCUGCAUUUAUUCAUUUUAUUGGAUGGAGUUGUCGAGUCGGUUCAGAAUCAAUCCUAUCACUAAAAGCCAAACUGUGAAAACGGUCAGAAUAGAUAAUUUAAAAAUCCCUUUGAGAAUGACGAGAAGUUAUGAGAAGAAAAUGAAAAGGGAGAAUCCAUUUCUACUUAGAUUUCCUCAUUGUAAUUUCUUUUAUCUGCCACUUGGCUCUUUAGAAAUGUAAUUUAAAACUACCAGUUUCUACUUCUGGUGGUUUGCAAAAUCUGUUUAGCUCAACUCAGCAAUCUUUACCCACUGGUUUUGGUUUAGUUUUUAUUUCAGGCUAUAGCUUCCAUAUGUCUAUUUAUUAUCAUGAGUGAGUUUUCUUAAAUUAACUGUAAUUGAGGUUUAUUACAUUUAAAAAAAAAAAACAAC
rnacentral:lncRNA from 1 species